UAUGUGCCGAUCGCGAGAGGGCAAACGGAUGUUCGCCCGCCGCGACCAAGUGAUUCACGAUGUGACGGCCCACAAGUCCGGUCGCACCGAGAACCAGGCUCUGCAUUGUUUGCUACAUCAGAUGCACGGCAUGCGGCGCGAACAGGCCGAUCGCUGUGAACGCCAGUCCUGUCAGCGCCAGAGCUCCCGCCACCCAUGCCAACGCCACCAUGCCGGUGAUGAUGGUCGCCGAGGCGAGCACGAUGCCGAUCUGGAACGCGGCCGAGGCGACCUCAUAGUGAUGAUAGCGCGCCAUGGCGAGAUCGCGGGCCUCCUCGGCCUUCUUGGCGCG
rnacentral:misc_RNA from 1 species